CCAGGCAUGGCCAGGCCCAGGAGGUAGAAGCUAGGCCCCUCUCCGGGCCUUGGCCGCGCCGCCACCGAGAAUAUCAAGACACGCCGGCGGCACUUUAAACACACCCACACUUAGGGCGGUGAAAUGGAAUUGGGGUGGGGGUGGGGAAGCUGCACAGCCCAGGAAGGGGCCGUGACCGAGUUACUGACAUCCUCAGGGACCAAUCAGCAGCGUGCUUCCAUGUGUUUAGAGUUCCUGAGGACUUCUUAUGAAGCUUGCAUCGAAGCCUUUACCAAGAUCCCCUGAGGGAAAUGACCAAUGGACAAGGGCCUCAGCCAUGCCUCUGUCCCUGGAAAAGCAUCCUGUCAAGUAUGCCAAGGUGGAGACCCGUGAGCUCUUCUGUGACUACACCAACUGUGAGUAGCUCUUCUCCUGACAUUUUCUUAGCAUUCUCCUGCAGUACUUCUGCCCUGAAGGCACCAAGGGAAACAGGACUGUGUGGCAUGUGUAGCCACAAUCAUGGAUUUGCCAAAAAGGUCAUGUAAUUUUGUGUAAUUACAGAGAUUUUAAACAGACACAUGUGAGUCUGCUUUACAGCAAACACUCUAGAAGAGGCCUGGGAAUAGGCCCUCCUGAGGCAACAGGGGUAGUGGGAUUGCUGUGUCAUGGGGCCUCAGGACCAGGAUCUGCACAGGGUGGAUGUCUGAGCCAUCAGAGAGACCCGUCCGUGACCCGAGGACUUUAUGUCACCCGAUGAGAAGAAACUAGAUGAACAUUGUCUCUCCGGGGGUCAAGAAAGUGAUGACCACCCAGCAAAUGGGAAGACUGUUUCCUUAUUGGGUUACUGCAGGUGCUUGUCAGCAAAAGGCCUUUGGUAGGCUUGUUCCUCUGCAGAAGUGAAAUGAAACUUUGAUCUUAACAGGAACUGGCAGCAACCACUGGGGAGCUGGGAUUUCAGACCUUGCCGACAGUGUCAGGUUUACAUCCACUCGGGAGUUUUAAUGACGUAUCUUUUAUUUUCAAUUUCAUUCAGUAAUGUAUUCUGAUGUAUCAUGUACGGCCCUUAAGAUCACAGAAGGUUGGGAAGGUAAUAAGAAUCUGAUAGGAAUGGGGCUGAACCACUCCAAUAAAGUUGUGAUCAUGUAAAUGUGUGAGAGAUAAUUAUUAAU